CCUCGGGGGCAGCAGUGGGGAAUAUUGGACAAUGGGCGAAAGCCUGAUCCAGCCAUGCCGCGUGUGUGAAGAAGGCCUUCGGGUUGUAAAGCACUUUCAGUGGGGAAGAAAGCCUUGGGGCUAAUACCCUCGAGGAAGGACAUCACCCACAGAAGAAGCACCGGCUAACUCCGUGCCAGCAGCCGCGGUAAUACGGAGGGUGCGAGCGUUAAUCGGAAUUACUGGGCGUAAAGCGCGCGUAGGCGGUCUGAUAAGCCGGUUGUGAAAGCCCCGGGCUCAACCUGGGAACGGCAUCCGGAACUGUCAGGCUAGAGUGCAGGAGAGGAAGGUAGAAUUCCCGGUGUAGCGGUGAAAUGCGUAGAGAUCGGGAGGAAUACCAGUGGCGAAGGCGGCCUUCUGGACUGACACUGACGCUGAGGUGCGAAAGCGUGGGUAGCAAACAGGAUUAGAUACCCUAGUAGUC
rnacentral:rRNA from 1 species